UUGUUUCGGGUCAUAACGGAGGCC
rnacentral:siRNA from 1 species